rnacentral:rRNA from 1 species
CACAAGGGGUGAAGCCUGCGGUUCAAUUGGAGUCAACGCCAGGAAACUUACCAGGAGAGACAGCAGGUUGAGGGUCAGUCUGAAGAACUUACCUGACAAGCUGAGAGGAGGUGCAUGGCCGUCGCCAGCUCGUGCCGUGAGGCGUCCUGUUAAGUCAGGCAACGAGCGAGACCCCUAUCGGUAAUUGCUAACUGCCCAGAGAUGGGCAGAGGCUAGUUACAGAGACUGCCGUUGAUAAAACGGAGGAAGGAAGGGGCCACGGCAGGUCAGUAUGCCCCGAAACUCCUGGGCCACACGCGGGCUGCAAUGGUAGGGACAAUAGGUUCCGACCUCGAAAGAGGAAGGCAAUCCCCAAACCCUACCCCAGUUGUGAUCGAGGAUUGAAACCCGUCCUCGUGAAUAUGGAAUCCCUAGUAACCGCGUGUCAUCACCGCGCGGUGAAUACGUCCCUGCUCC